rnacentral:misc_RNA from 1 species
AACCAUUCUCACCUGCGGCUAGACCUGCGGAAGGAUCAUUAAAAAAUCUUUGCCCGCGGACCUUGGAGUCCAAGGUGCAAAACCACACUGUGUGCACUGUUAUCGUUCUUUUGGCAGGGGCUUGGGGUAUCUUCCAACUUGGGGAACCUCAACUUCUCGUCUAGCUCUAUCCACCUCGGACAGCUGGACAUGAGAAGCAGUUACUCUGCCAAGUGACCCUUAAAAUACUCUUUUUUGUCU